GCUACUAUGGCCGAGUGGUCUAAGGCGCUGGUUUUAAGCACCAGUUCAAUUUGAGCGAGGGUUCGAACCCCUCUGGUAGCA